ACAGACCUGAAAUGUUCGAUAACUUCUGUUAUUUUGAACCUACAAUACUUUAAACGGGAUUCCUAUAUCUCUGUAAUAUGUCAGGCCUCCAUUCUUGCAGUGGAAGACAGAAAAGCAGAUGCGGUCGCCCACCUAGCGGACUGCUAGGAGUCAAAAUACAGAACCCGGCAUUUUGGGGAUAAC
rfam:Lachnospiraceae bacterium 2_1_46FAA genomic scaffold aclXT-supercont-complete, whole genome shotgun sequence.